CCUACGGGAGGCAGCAGUGGGGAAUAUUGCGCAAUGGGGGAAACCCUGACGCAGCAACGCCGCGUGAGUGAGGAAGGACUUCGGUCUGUAAAGCUCUGUUAAUGUGGAAAAAUGGUAGUUGGUCUAAUAGGCCGAUUAUUUGAUGGUACACAUAGAGGAAGCACCGGCUAACUUCGUGCCAGCAGCCGCGGUAAUACGAAGGGUGCAAGCGUUGUUCGGAUUUAUUGGGCGUAAAGCGCGCGUAGGCGGACCUGUAAGUCAGAUGUGAAAUCUCGGGGCUCAACCUCGAAACUGCGUCUGAAACUGCAGGUCUAGAAUCUCGGAGGGGGAAGGGGAAUUUCGCAUGUAGGGGUAAAAUCCGUAGAUAUGCGAAGGAACACCAGAGGCGAAGGCGCCUUCCUGGACGAGUAUUGACGCUGAGGCGCGAAAGCGUGGGGAUCAAACAGGAUUAGAUACCCUGGUAGUCCACGCUGUAAACUAUGAACACUAGGUAUUGGAGGAUUUGACCCCUUCAGUGCCGUAGCUAACGCGUUAAGUGUUCCGCCUGGGAAGUACGGUCGCAAGCUAAACUUAAAGGAAUUGACGGNUGNGNGNGCGAGCGACGACGAGGAGAGG
rnacentral:rRNA from 1 species